UACGAAGGGUGCAAGCGUUACUCGGAAUUACUGGGCGUAAAGCGUGCGUAGGUGGUUCGUUAAGUCUGUCGUGAAAGCCCCGGGCUCAACCUGGGAAUGGCGAUGGAUACUGGCGGGCUAGAGUGCGGUAGAGGAGAGUGGAAUUCCCGGUGUAGCAGUGAAAUGCGUAGAGAUCGGGAGGAACAUCAGUUGCGGAAGGCGGCUCUCUGGACCAGCACUGACACUGAG
rnacentral:rRNA from 1 species